rnacentral:rRNA from 1 species
AUUGAACGCUGGCGGAAUGCUUUACACAUGCAAGUCGAACGGCAGCACGGACUUCGGUCUGGUGGUGAGUGGCGAACGGGUGAGUAAUAUAUCGGAACGUGCCCAGUCGUGGGGGAUAACGUAGCGAAAGCUACGCUAAUACCGCAUACGAUCUACGGAUGAAGGCGGGGGAUCGCAAGACCUCGCGCGAUUGGAGCGGCCGAUAUCAGAUUAGGUAGUUGGUGAGGUAAAGGCUCACCAAGCCGACGAUCUGUAGCUGGUCUGAGAGGACGGCCAGCCACACUGGGACUGAGACACGGCCCAGACUCCUACGGGAGGCAGCAGUGGGGAAUUUUGGACAAUGGACGCAAGUCUGAUCCAGCCAUUCCGCGUGCAGGACGAGGGCCUUCGGGUUGUAAACUGCUUUUGUACAGAACGAAAAGGUCUCUAUUAAUACUAGGGGCUCAUGACGGUACUGUAAGAAUAAGCACCGGCUAACUACGUGCCAGCCGCCGCAGUAA